CGUAGGGUGCAAGCGUUAAUCGGAAUUACUGGGCGUAAAGCGUGCGCAGGCGGUUGUGUAAGACAGGUGUGAAAUCCCCGGGCUUAACCUGGGAAUUGCAUUUGUGACUGCACGACUAGAGUGUGUCAGAGGGGGGUGGAAUUCCACGUGUAGCAGUGAAAUGCGUAGAUAUGUGGAGGAACACCAAUGGCGAAGGCAGCCCCCUGGGAUAACACUGACGCUCAUGCACGAAAGCGUGGGGAGCAAACAGGA
rnacentral:rRNA from 1 species